rfam:Operophtera brumata OBRT01_Sc04034, whole genome shotgun sequence.
CAUUCCAUGGCCAAACUGGUCAAGGCAUCGCCGAUUUAAGGCGAAGAUGCGGGUUCGAAUCCCGCUGGAACAC